rnacentral:rRNA from 1 species
GACGAACGCUGGCGGCGUGCCUAAUACAUGCAAGUUGAGCGAUGAAGCUUGGUGCUUGCACCAAUUUGAAGAGCAGCGAACGGGUGAGUAACGCGUGGGGAAUCUGCCUUUGAGCGGGGGACAACAUUUGGAAACGAAUGCUAAUACCGCAUAACAACUUUAAACAUAAGUUUUAAGUUAGAAAGAUGCAAUUGCAUCACUCAAAGAUGAUCCCGCGUUGUAUUAGCUAGUUGGUGAGGUAAAGGCUCACCAAGGCGAUGAUACAUAGCCGACCUGAGAGGGUGAUCGGCCACAUUGGGACUGAGACACGGCCCAAACUCCUACGGGAGGCAGCAGUAGGGAAUCUUCGGCAAUGGACGAAAGUCUGACCGAGCAACGCCGCGUGAGUGAAGAAGGUUUUCGGAUCGUAAAACUCUGUUGGUAGAGAAGAACGUUGGUGAGAGUGGAAAGCUCAUCAAGUGACGGUAACUACCCAGAAAGGGACGGCUAACUACGUG